rnacentral:rRNA from 1 species
UACGGGGGGGGUAAGCGUUGUUCGGAAUUACUGGGCGUAAAGGGCUCGUAGGCGGCCAACUAAGUCAUACGUGAAAUCCCUCAGCUUAACUGGGGAACUGCGUGUGAUACUGGAUGGCUUGGAUUUGGGAGAGGGAUGCGGAAUUCCAGGUGUAGCGGUGAAAUGCGUAGAUAUCGGGAGGAACACCUGAGGCGAAGGCGGGCUACUGGGCCGAUACUGACGCUGAGGCGCGAAAGCCAGGGGAGCAAAGCGG